rnacentral:rRNA from 1 species
UACGUAGGGGGCUAGCGUUGUCCGGAAUCAUUGGGCGUAAAGCGCGUGUAGGCGGUCCGGUAAGUCCGCUGUGAAAGUCGGGGGCUCAACCCUCGAAUGCCGGUGGAUACUGUCGGGCUAGAGUGCGGAAGAGGCGAGUGGAAUUCCUGGUGUAGCGGUGAAAUGCGUAGAGAUCAGGAAGAACACCGGUGGCGAAAGCGCUCUGCUAGGCCGCAACUGACACUCAUGGACGAAAGCUAGGGGAGCGAAUGGG